GGCCUCUGUUUCUCUUCUCGU
rnacentral:misc_RNA from 1 species